GAACGCUGGCGGGUGGAUUAGGCAUGCAAGUCGAACGGUAUCAUCUUCGGGGGUGAGAGAGUGGCGAACUGGUGAGUAACACGUAGGUUAUCUACCUCAAGACGGGACAACCCAGGGAAACUUGGGCUAAUACCGGAUGUGAGCAACUUUUAGUUGUUUGAAAGGUGGCGUAAGCUGUCGCUUGGGGAUGAGCCUGCGUCCUAUUAGUUAGUUGGUGAGGUAACGGCUCACCUAGGCAAUGAUAGGUAGGCGGCCUUAACGGGUGGUCGCCCACACUGGGAUUGAGAUACGGCCCAGACUCCUACGGGAGGCAGCAGUCGAGAAUAGUCUACAAUGGUCGGAAGACUGAUAGUGCGACGCCGCGUGAACGAUGAAUCCCUUCGGGGUGUAAAGUUCUUUUAUAUGUGAGCAGUGCUUCUUAUAUUAACAGUAUGGGGAGAGCGAUAUUAGCAUAUGAAUAAGCAACGGCUAACUCCGUG
rnacentral:rRNA from 1 species